CCAAGGAGCCUAACCUGUGCGCAAGUCAAUCAGUGUUUACAAAACUCGACUGGCGUAACGAAAGCAAUCUGGUGCGCUUCGGUGCACUGCAACCAGGUGUUGAUCCGCUGUGACAGCAUCGCAGUUGCAAUGCGGCGCCUUGCGCGCCGUAUCAGAGCGCAUAGGGUAGUACCCGAAAGAUGGUGAUCUAUGCUUGAGCAGGACGAAGCCAAAGGAAACUUUGGUGGAAGUCUGCAGCAGUUUUGACGUGCAAAUCGAUUGUCAGACUCGAGUAUAGCGGCRAAAGACUAAUCGAACCAUCUAGUAGCUGGUUUCCUCCGAAAUUUCCCGUAGGAUAGCAAGCGCGUUACAUAUCAUUCAAACCUGUUACAGUCUCAAUAGAAGGUAACGGGGCGUUAAUUGACCUUGUCCUUUUCCUAAACUUGGUCAAUGGGUUCCACUUGCAAUUGCAUGCUUGCUGCAUGCAAUCAAAUAGCAAACUGGUUGAUGAUUUGCGCUUAGUGGGCCAUUUUUGGUAAGCAGAACUGGCGAUGUGGGAUGAACCGUACACAGAGUUAAAGUGCCUAAUGUGCAUACGCUAAGAAGAUCCCAUUAAAGAUGUUGUUCGCUUAAGACAGUAGGGCGGUGGCCAUGGAAGUCGGCAUCCGCUAAGGAGUGUGUAACAACUCACCUACCGAAGCGUUCAACUCUGAAAAUGGAUGGCGCUAAAGCGUUGAACUGAAACUCUGUCGUGUCAGUAAAUCCUGUUCAGGGCUCUGUGCUGCUUUUUGCGCAGUGCAGAGAUCAGACUGACACGAGUAGGAGGAAUGUGGCGGUGGCGUAGAAGCUUUGGACGUAAGUCCGGGUGGAGCCGCUGCUAGURCAGAUCUUGGUGGUAGUAGCAAACAAACAAGUGACAACCUUGUUGACCGACGUGGAUACGGGUUCCAUGUGAACAGUAAUUGGUCAUGGGUUAGUCGAUCCUGAGGGGCGCGGCGAAAGCCGUAUCGUAAGUAGCGUCCUUUGCUGGACGCGCCUCGAAAGGGAAUGAGGUUAAUAUUCCUCAACCUUGUCAGCGUAUUGGCUGUGGUCAAACACAGUCAUUAGCGGUAACGCGUUCGAACCCAGAGACGUGAGCCAAAGCCCUGGGAAGAGAUAUCUUCUCUUCUGUAAGCUGUUGCAGAAGCGCCUUGAAACAGUUUAGCUGGAGACAGGCGUGUACGCAGCGAAUUGCAGCGCGCUUCAUGUGCUGUGUCAGUGUGCUUUGGUUAACCCUUGAAAAUCUGGGCGAGUGUACAAAACGCUGCAAGAUCGUACCUAGAUCCGCAACCGGUAUCCUAGGUGAACAGCCUCUGGUCUAUUAGAAUAAUGUAAGUAAGGGAAGUCGGCAAAACUGAUCUGUAUCUUUGGUACAAAGAUUGGCUCUGGCGAGUUUGCCGGUUGCGUCGUGUUUAGUAAAUGCGAGCGGCYGGUCUUGGCACUGGAGUGCGGCUUUCGGGCUGCGCAUCGGGGCUUCGAUCGCUGCUUGUAUUGAACGGCGCGAGUACGGCUGGCAAAUAAAACAAAUAGUCAGAACUAUCAUUGACUUUUCGGAAUCUGACUGUUUAAUUAAAACAUAGCAUCGAGACGACUGGUGACCCAGUGUUAACUCGAUGUGAAUUCUGCCCAGUGCUCUGAAUGUCAACGUGUAGAAAUUCAAUGAAGCGCGGGUAAACGGCGGGAGUAACUAUGACUCUCUUAAGGUAGCCAAAUGCCUCGUCAUCUAAUUAGUGACGUGCAUGAAUGGAUUAACGAGAUUCCAUCUGUCCCUACUUACUAUCUAGCGAAACCACAGCCAAGGGAACGGGCUUGGCGAGAUCAGCGGGGAAAGAAGACCCUGUUGAGCUUGACUCUAGUCUGGCAUUGUGAGGAAACUGUAUUCGGUAUAGCAUAGGUGGGAGACACUUUCGGGUGUCGUUAUCAACUGUAAAACCACCACGAUACAGCACCACUCACUGACUUGAUUAUGAGGCUUACUUUGCGUGCCGAUUCGUCGGGCGCAAAGGAAACUUUCUCAUAGCGCAUCAAGUCGGGAUUUUCGGUCUUCGGACUGGAAACCAUAUUCCGUCGAGGCAUUAUUCAAGGACAGUGCCAGGCGGGGAGUUUGACUGGGGCGGUACAUCUAUCAAAUGUUAACGUAGGUGUCCUAAUGUUAGCUCAGUGAGACCAGAAAUCUCACGUAGAAUAUAAGGGUACAAGCUGGCUUGAUUCUGAAUAACAGUACGAUUGCGAGACAAGAAAUUGUGGCCUAACGAUCCUUUUGAUAAGCGAAACACUAUCAAUGCAUAAUACAAGAGGUGUCAGAAAAGUUACCACAGGGAUAACUGGCUUGUGGCGGCCAAGCGUUCAUAGCGACGCCGC
rnacentral:rRNA from 1 species